GGUUCCAGCUGAGCUUGUGGAAAUAUCCUCAUACUGUUAGACAGACAAAAGCCUUCCAUCCAAACAAUCCAGUGGAAAUGUUUCUGUGGAUACAUUUCAUAUUUAGCUUCUUCAUUUUCAAAGGUACUUAAUCCCUUUGGUUGGAAUGCAGUUGGUGUGAUUUAUCAGGAAGCCCUUAUAAUCCAAAUAUGUAAAGUUUGUAACUCAAUCUGUCUCUCUUUCUAGGUGUCCAUGCAGAUUCUCUGGUGGAAUCUGGUGGGGAUGUGAAAAGACCUGGAGAGUCCCUUCGACUCACAUGUACAACAUCAGGAUUCAACAUAGACAGCUACUGGAUGCACUGGGUCCAUCAAGCUCCUGGAAAGGGACUCAAAUGGCUCUCAGCAAUUAAUCGGGCCAGCACAGCUUAUGCAGAUUCUGCUAAAGGACGGUUCACAACCUCCACAGACAGUUCCAAGAAGCUGAUCUUUCUACAUAUGACUGGUCUGAAAGCUGAAGAUACCGGCAUGUAUUAUUGUACCAGAGAUC